rnacentral:rRNA from 1 species
UAAGCCAUGCAAGUCAUAUGUUCCUCGUGAACAUGGCAUACUGCUCAGUAACACGUGGAUAACCUGCCCUUGGGUCUGGGAUAACCCCGGGAAACUGGGGAUAAUAUCGGAUAACGCAUAUGUGCUGGAAUGCUUUAUGCGUAAAACGGAUUCGUCCGCCCAAGGAUGGGUCUGCGGCCUAUCAGGUAGUAGUGGGUGUAAUGUACCUACUAGCCAACAACGGGUACGGGUUGUGAGAGCAAGAGCCCGGAGAUGGAUUCUGAGACAUGAAUCCAGGCCCUACGGGGCGCAGCAGGCGCGAAAACUUUACAAUGCGGGAAACCGUGAUAAGGGAACACCGAGUGCCAGCAUCAUAUGCUGGCUGUCCAGAUGUGUAAACUACAUCUGUUAGCAGGGGCCGGGCAAGACCGGUGCCAGCCGCCGCGGUAACACCGGCGGCCCGAGUGGUGACCGUUAUUAUUGGGUCUAAAGGGUCCGUAGCCGGUUUGGUCAGUCCUCCGGGAAAUCUGAUAGCUUAACUGUUAGGCUUUCGGGGGAUACUGCCAGGCUUGGAACCGGGAGAGGUAAGAGGUACUACAGGGGUAGGAGUGAAAUCUUGUAAUCCCUGUGAGACCACCUGUGGCGAAGGCGUCUUACCAGAACGGGUUCGACGGUGAGGGACGAAAGCUGGGGGCACGAACCGGAUUAGAUACCCGGGUAGUCCCAGCCGUAAACUAUGCUCGCUAGGUGUCAGGCAUGGCGCGACCGUGUCUGGUGCCGCAGGGAAGCCGUGAAGCGAGCCACCUGGGAAGUACGGCCGCAAGGCUGAAACUUAAAGGAAUUGGCGGGGGAGCACAACAACGGGUGGAGCCUGCGGUUUAAUUGGACUCAACGCCGGACAACUCACCGGGGACGACAGCAAUAUGUAGGCCAGGCUGAAGACCUUGCCUGAAUCGCUGAGAGGAGGUGCAUGGCCGUCGCCAGUUCGUACUGUGAAGCAUCCUGUUAAGUCAGGCAACGAGCGAGACCCA